GAUGAACGCUAGCUACAGGCUUAACACAUGCAAGUCGAGGGGCAGCAUUUCAGUUUGCUUGCAAACUGGAGAUGGCGACCGGCGCACGGGUGAGUAACGCGUAUCCAACCUGCCGAUAACUCGGGGAUAGCCUUUCGAAAGAAAGAUUAAUACCCGAUGGUAUAAUCAGACCGCAUGGUCUUGUUAUUAAAGAAUUUCGGUUAUCGAUGGGGAUGCGUUCCAUUAGGCAGUUGGUGAGGUAACGGCUCACCAAACCUUCGAUGGAUAGGGGUUCUGAGAGGAAGGUCCCCCACAUUGGAACUGAGACACGGUCCAAACUCCUACGGGAGGCAGCAGUGAGGAAUAUUGGUCAAUGGGCGCAGGCCUGAACCAGCCAAGUAGCGUGAAGGAUGACUGCCCUAUGGGUUGUAAACUUCUUUUAUAUGGGAAUAAAGUUUUCCACGUGUGGAAUUUUGUAUGUACCAUAUGAAUAAGGAUCGGCUAACUCCGUGCCAGCAGCCGCGGUAAUACGGAGGAUCCGAGCGUUAUCCGGAUUUAUUGGGUUUAAAGGGAGCGUAGGUGGACAGUUAAGUCAGUUGUGAAAGUUUGCGGCUCAACCGUAAAAUUGCAGUUGAUACUGGCUGUCUUGAGUACAGUAGAGGUGGGCGGAAUUCGUGGUGUAGCGGUGAAAUGCUUAGAUAUCACGAAGAACUCCGAUUGCGAAGGCAGCUCACUGGACUGCAACUGACACUGAUGCUCGAAAGUGUGGGUAUCAAACAGGAUUAGAUACCCUGGUAGUCCACACAGUAAACGAUGAAUACUCGCUGUUUGCGAUAUACAGUAAGCGGCCAAGCGAAAGCAUUAAGUAUUCCACCUGGGGAGUACGCCGGCAACGGUGAAACUCAAAGGAAUUGACGGGGGCCCGCGCAAGCGGAGGAACAUGUGGUUUAAUUCGAUGAUACGCGAGGAACCUUACCCGGGCUUAAAUUGCAUUUGAAUAUAUUGGAAACAGUAUAGCCGUAAGGCAAAUGUGAAGGUGCUGCAUGGUUGUCGUCAGCUCGUGCCGUGAGGUGUCGGCUUAAGUGCCAUAACGAGCGCAACCCUUAUCUUUAGUUACUAACAGGUCAUGCUGAGGACUCUAGAGAGACUGCCGUCGUAAGAUGUGAGGAAGGUGGGGAUGACGUCAAAUCAGCACGGCCCUUACGUCCGGGGCUACACACGUGUUACAAUGGGGGGUACAGAAGGCAGCUACCUGGUGACAGGAUGCUAAUCCCAAAAGCCUCUCUCAGUUCGGAUCGAAGUCUGCAACUCGACUUCGUGAAGCUGGAUUCGCUAGUAAUCGCGCAUCAGCCAUGGCGCGGUGAAUACGUUCCCGGGCCU
rnacentral:rRNA from 1 species